ACAAAUUUUUUAAUUGCCCCGGAGUGGAACUCGUUGGGUUAGGGUUUUCGUGCGACUGCCUCUCUCUAUUCCUCUCUCGUCGCUUCAUUUCCAAGUCCAAGAUUCUUCAUGGCGAUUCCCGGCCCUUACUCCGGCGUCAGCUCCCUUGCCUUCGUGGCUCGCACAUCGGCUGUUGCCUUCGGAGUUGUUUAUGGAAGCUUGAAGCUCUCCUAUCUCAAAGCUAAGGCAAAGUCCCACCAAAAGGCAGAGGCCAAAGGUCAUCACUGAGUACAAUUAUGUAGCUCUUUGUAUAAAGAGCAAAAUGAUCUUAUGGCCGUGACAUCAUUUGUUAGCGUAAUUCUACUUUGGUUGCUGAUUCGUGCUUUUCCUAAUCCUGGAGAUCAUAGCAUCCCUGGCCCUUUAUUGAUUUUGUUCUGCAAUAAUCCAGCUUUCGUUGCUAAAGGAAACUGCAUUUCUUUUUCCAUUUUAUCAGUUUUUGUUUUUGUGUUACAUGCUUGUACCAAAUUAUAUGCUGAUCUAGGCUAAGCUGGAAAUGCUCUUGUAGCACGCAAUUGUUCCUUUAUAAAUUAUUUUCCCCAAGUUGGAUAA